AUUAUAAUAAUAUUAUACAUAUCAUGUCAUAUUAUAUAUAAUAUUGUGUAAAUAUUAUAUAUACGUAUACAUCUGUCUGCUGAAGAGGACCUACGUGCCCAGUAGCAAUGACCACACUUAGUGACCAGAUUUUCAUUUUUAACUAUUCUGCACCAAAAGGAACCAGGGAUCUUUGGAGAAAAGCUUGAUUCCAGGGAAGAGGAAGGUAAAGAAAGUAUAAGAUAAGCCUGCAACAUCUUAUACUAGAAAAGAGAAGGUUGGUGGCGAUACGGACAAGAAUGGAAAACAAAGAUUCAUCUGGAGGACCAUCUUCUCAGAAGCCUAAGAAUAAAACUCACACAGAGAAGAAAGCAGAACCAAAGGAACUACAUAGAAUUGAAAUUAUACCCAAAGAACUGAAGGAACCAGAGUCUUGGCUAUUUUUGCAGUUGUAUCUUUUUGAGUCAGUACUGUCCAAUUUCAGUUGGCAUUGUUUUGCUUCAGAUGAAAUAAUCCUGAUACAGUCACGUUGAAAAUUCCUAAACAGCCUAGGGCCCAUCAAUGGACGAAUGGAAUACUACUCAACCAUUAAAAAAAGGUGGAAUCUUGCCAUUUGUGACAACAUGGAUGGAACUGGACAGCAUUAUGCUAAGUGAAAUAAGUUAGAUGGAGAAGGCCAAGUACCUUAUGAUUUCAUUCUUACGUGGAAGAUAAAAAACAACAACAAUGACAACAAACAAAACAUAGAUAUAGAGAAUAGAUUGGGGGUCACUGGGGGGAAGGGAGGAGGGGGAAUGCAAAAGGAGUAAAAGGCCACAUGUGCACAGUGAUGGAUGGUAAUUAGACUUUGGAUGGUGAACAUGAUGUAGUCUACACAGAAAUCAAAAUAUAAUGAUGCACACCUGAACUUUAAGAGAAACAAAGUCAUGUUUUUGUGUUUUAGCAGUCUUUUGUCUCUCAAUGCCAGGGAGGAUCUUUUUAUGGUGUCAUGUCCCACGUCAGAGGGAAAAUGCACAAAUUGGAAACCUACUGAGGCCACAUUUGAGUAACAAAGAGGGGUAGAAGGAGAAUUUUAAGGCAUUUUUUCCCUAAAGUUUAUAUGUUAUCAAGAUCAUAGACAUUGGAGAUCAUCUGAAGUGUUAUGUCUUUAUCAAAAGUUUGUUAGACUUUCAACAGGCCUGGUCUGGACAUCUUGGGAAAGCUGUCUCAUCAGAUGCUGUCUGCUUCAAUUCCAGAAAAUCUCUACUUUCAUGUCACCAGAUGAUGUGCAGGUGCAGUCAGGGUUCGAUGCUUUCUUUAGGUGUGUCACAUGAAUCCAUGAGUUUAUUCCCUGGUGUUUCAUGGCACAAAAGUUAAUUCGUGGUUCCAGAUAAGGGUCUUUUCAGUGAGAUUGAAGAGAAUUCUUCUAGAAAUGUCUUUUCCAAUAGACAAUCUCAGGUUGCAAAGUGUGAUGCUUAAGAUUUUCAUCUCCCUCAAGUGCACUGUGAAAAGAUUGCUCAGCUGAAACAUGGUUAUUUUUAAUAGAAACAAUUAGGCAUUUGCAAUAUUAGAGUAUAUCUCCUUUUAUUAGCGGUGGGUCAAAAGAGGCAGGAGCCCAGGGCCAUGGGCAUCCCACGACUAUCUGGGAGGGUGAGAGUUUAUGAGUUCCAAAGAGGGUAGAUCUAAAUUUUAGAAGAACCAAUGGUAAUGCUUUUGGCCAAAGUAUUUGGAGGUUCUCUACAAAUUUUGCCAAUUGAGUCUAAAUAAUGUGUGUUCAACUGAACCAGAAGAUUGAGGGUGGUGAGCACAAUGAAAGUGUUGCAAAAGUUAUCAAACAGCACAGACUUGCCAAAGUACCUGACCAGUAAAUUUUUUUUUUUUUUAUCACUCUAAAGCUCAAGAUGAGUUAGUUCCCCAGGUAAGGAUAAUUCUUUCAAAAAGGACUUUCAUCACAGAAAAGGUGGUAGACUAUCUACAGGGAAAGGCUUCACUCCAGUGAGAAAAUAUGCAAACCAUGACUAAAAGAUAUUUAUAUUCAUGAAGUGAGGGAAGUUGUAUUAAAUCCAUCUGUCAAAACUUAAGUGGUCCGUUAGACAGCUUAGAAUAUCUGGGAGCAGCAGAAACAGACUUUCUUCCAUUGUAUUUUGGACAAGUGGGACAAGGGAGGGAGGUACUUUUUGUGGGUUUGUUAAUAUUUUCUAUCAAUAUUGAUUUAUAAAUGUUAUUUUGUCAGUAAACCAAUGGAUUAUUGUAUGUACAGUAGUUAGGCAUGGGAAUUUUAAAGUUUCCAGUAGGACCGAGUUGUUAUUUGGUCCAAAUGAGAGCUUUUUCUUUAUAUUAAACCAACAGUUGCUGAAUUUCUAA